UGGCGGACGGGUGAGUAACGCGUGGGAACGUGCCCUUUGCUACGGAAUAGUCCCGGGAAACUGGGUUUAAUACCGUAUGUGCCCUUCGGGGGAAAGAUUUAUCGGCAAAGGAUCGGCCCGCGUUGGAUUAGGUAGUUGGUGGGGUAACGGCCUACCAAGCCGACGAUCCAUAGCUGGUUUGAGAGGAUGAUCAGCAACACUGGGACUGAGACACGGCCCAGACUCCUACGGGAGGCAGCAGUGGGGAAUCUUAGACAAUGGGGGAAACCCUGAUCUAGCCAUGCCGCGUGAGCGAUGAAGGCCUUAGGGUUGUAAAGCUCUUUCAGCUGGGAAGAUAAUGACGGUACCAGCAGAAGAAGCCCCGGCUAACUCCGUGCCAGCAGCCGCGGUAAU
rnacentral:rRNA from 1 species